GACGAACGCUGGCGGCGUGCUUAACACAUGCAAGUCGAACGAAGUUGCGAAAGGGUGAGUAACGCGUAAUCAACCUGCCCUUCAGAGGGGGCCAACAGUUGGAAACGACUGCUAAUACCGCAUACUGAAGGAGGGGAUUGCGUCUGAUUAGCUAGUUGGCGGGGUAACGGCCUACCAAGGCGAAGAUCAGUAGCCGGGCUGAGGGGAUGAACGGCCAAAUUGGGGCUGGGACACGGCCCAGACUCCUACGGGAGGGAGCAGGGGGGAAGCUUCCGCAAUGGAGGAAAGUCUGACGGAGCAACGCCGCGUGAGUGAUGACGGCCUUCGGGGUGGAAAGCUCUGUUAAUCGGGACGCGGUACCGGAAGAGAAAGCCACGGCUAACUACGUGCCAGCAGCCGCGGUAAUAC
rnacentral:rRNA from 1 species